ensembl:lncRNA
GUCAGUAGUGAUGAAGCUAGAAGUUGUGUUUAGUUCUGUGUGAUCCCAAAUCCCCAUUUUCAGACUAUGAACCCUACCCACAUUGCAUUUUCAUCAUGUUCAAAGGGUGUGUGUUAUUGUUUACUUCAUCCAUGUCAAGUGUAAGACGAAAUUAUAUUUCAGUUUUAUUUUUAGCUCAUCUACCAUUUCACCUUACUUAUGUCACUGCUCCUUUCUACUUUUGAAAGUAACGGAGAUAAAGUGCACUGAAGAAUCAGGAGAGGACUCCCUUGGCAGUCUAGUGGAGAAUGCUCUGAGUUUCCACUGCAGUGGGCACAGUUUCCAUCCCUGAUGAAGGAACUAAGAUCCAGCAUACUGCUCGAGGCUCACCUGAAAGGAAAUAAAUGAAUAAAUAAAUAAAAGGAGAAUG